GCACACUUUGCAGGAUGGUUGAACUACACAAUCUAGGAGGAAGCAAUGGGGUUGUCCUCUGCAGCUAACCACCCUAAGUCCUCUAAAACCACAGGGUUAUCUUACGCAUUUCUAUCAAUGUUGUUUGGAUGUUUUUCAAAGGUAGAAGGUCUGACAUGGCAGUCUAGAGAUUCCCCCAAGGUUAACUAGCUGUGUGUCUCCUACCUUCAGCUUCACAUACACAUUUUCUUUCUCCAAAUAGGUGAUGUGGGAUGCCGCCAUCUUGUGGUUAGAGAGCCACUAUGUUGUUCCCUUACCACCCCUAAAUGAUUCUGCUUCGAGUGUUAGACCCAGGGGAAUAGUUGUGAUGGGGAAAUACUCGUAGGAACAACAACAAAUUCCUUUGGUUGAAGUGCCAGCUGCCAGAUACAUGGAUGACAUUGUUAUUGGAGUCAAUCAAUUCCUCUCUCGGUAUUAUUAUGAUGACUAUGUUUUAUUGAGCUAGUUCUGAGGAAGGUGAACUACAAGUGUGAAUCAUUGCUUUGUUGUGGAUAUGGAUCUUGUGAUUACAUACAUGUUUGGAUUGGGCAGCAAAUUCACUUCAUUUGGUCAUCGUUGUCAGCGCAAGUGGGAUUGCCAAUCCACCAGGAUGGACUACUCAGUGAAAAAUAGCUUUAAAAAGAAACUGCUCACUGAGUCAGUUUUCUAGUGUGUAUGAGUGUUUUGUAUUAGGUGUGCUGUGGAUGAUGUGUGGUUUCCCUGUAUCUGAGUUUUGAAAGUGAUGACUGACAAUCUUUGACUGAUUUGAGAUCUUAUGUAAUGACUCAUGAUGGGACUUUUUUUUAUCUAUGUACUUUUUUGUAUUUUUACUCUCGGGAGUUUCUCAUGUCUUUGAUCCUCCUUAAUGUAUAAUACAAUUUUGUUAUUCUUGAAUAUAUAUUUAUACAGAUAUACAUAUUUUUUUGUAUCUAUAUUCUUUUUCAUUUCCUCUGAGCUAAUGUUCGAAUCUCUUUGUCUACAGUAUUAUAGACAAUAUAAUUUGGACAGCAUAUCACCUUUUUUACAUAUGUAUGAAUUGAGAAUUUGAAAAACUGCUUUCAC
rnacentral:lncRNA from 1 species